rnacentral:tRNA from 1 species
CUAUUAAAAGUUUAACAACAUUUACUUUGGAUGUAAAAGUUUCCUUAUC